AGCAUAUCAAUAAGCGGAGGAAAAGAAACUAACAAGGAUUCCCCUAGUAACGGCGAGUGAAGCGGGAAGAGCUCAAAUUUAAAAUCUGGCGGUGUAUUCCGUCCGAGUUGUAGUCUAGAGAAGCAUCAUCCGCGCUGGACCAUGUACAAGUCUCUUGGAACAGAGCGUCAUAGAGGGUGAGAAUCCCGUCCUUGACAUGGACUCCCAGUGCUUUGUGUUGUGCUCUCAACGAGUCGAGUUGUUUGGGAAUGCAGCUCAAAAUGGGUGGUAAAUUCCAUCUAAAGCUAAAUAUUGGCGAGAGACCGAUAGCGAACAAGUACCGUGAGGGAAAGAUGAAAAGCACUUUGGAGAGAGAGUUAAACAGUACGUGAAAUUGUUGAAAUGGAAACGCUUGAAGUCAGUCGCGUUCUCUGGGAUUCAGCCUUGCUUCUGCUUGGUGCAUUUCNUAGUNUACGGGCCAGCAUGGAUUUUGNCCGUUGGAAAAGGGCUGGGGGAANGUGGCACNUUNGGGUGUGUUAUAGCCCCCUGUCGUACGCAUCGGUUGGGAU
rnacentral:rRNA from 1 species